AGCAGUCGCCACGGGAAUACGUAGGUGGCAAGCGUUGUCCGGAAUUAUUGGGCGUAAAGCGCGCGCAGGCGGAUCGGUCAGUCUGUCUUAAAAGUUCGGGGCUUAACCCCGUGAUGGGAUGGAAACUGCCAAUCUAGAGUAUCGGAGAGGAAAGUGGAAUUCCUAGUGUAGCGGUGAAAUGCGUAGAUAUUAGGAAGAACACCAGUGGCGAAGGCGACUUUCUGGACGAAAACUGACGCUGAGGCGCGAAAGCCAGGGGAGCGAACGGGAUUAGAUACCCGCGUAGUCCCUGUCUCUUAUACA
rnacentral:rRNA from 1 species